rnacentral:rRNA from 1 species
AUACGGAGGGGGUUAGCGUUGUUCGGAAUUACUGGGCGUAACGCGCACGUAGGCGGCUUUGUAAGUCAGAGGUGAAAGCCUGGAGCUCAACUCCAGAACUGCCGUUGAGACUGCAUCGCUUGAAUCCAGGAGAGGUCAGUGGAAUUCCGAGUGUAGAGGUGAAAUUCGUAGAUAUUCGGAAGAACACCAGUGGCGAAGGCGGCUGACUGGACUGGUAUUGACGCUGAGGUGCGAAAGCGUGGGGAGCAAACAGGAUUAGAUACCCUAGUAGUCC